rnacentral:rRNA from 1 species
AGCGAACGCUGGCGGCAGGCUUAACACAUGCAAGUCGAACGCCCCGCAAGGGGUGUGGCAGACGGGUGAGUAACACGUGGGAACGUACCCUUUGGUUCGGAAUAACUUGGGGAAACUCAAGCUAAUACCGGCUAAGCCCUUCUGGGGAAAGGUUUACUGCCGAAGGAUCGGCCCGAGUCUGAUUAGCUAGUUGGUGAGGUAAUGGCUCACCAAGGCGACGAUCAGUAGCUGGUCUGAGAGGAUGAUCAGCCACACUGGGACUGAGACACGGCCCAGACUCCUACGGGAGGCAGCAGUGGGGAAUAUUGGACAAUGGGGGCAACCCUGAUCCAGCCAUGCCGCGUGAGUGAUGAAAGCCUUAGGGUUGUAAAGCUCUUUUACCCGGGACGAUAAUGACUGUACCGGGAGAAUAAGCCCCGGCUAACUUCGUGCCAGCCGCCGCCGUAA